UGGGGAAUAUUGGACAAUGGGGGCAACCCUGAUCCAGCAAUGCCGCGUGUGUGAAGAAGGCCUGCGGGUUGUAAAGCACUUUCAGUAGAGAAGAAAAGCUCAUGGUUAAUACCCGUGAGUCUUGACGUAACCUACAGAAGAAGCCCCGGCUAACUCCGUGCCAGCAGCCGCGGUAAUACGGAGGGGGCAAGCGUUGUUCGGAUUUACUGGGCGUAAAGGGCGCGUAGGCGGACGGUCAAGUCAGAGGUGAAAGGCCCGGGCUCAACCUGGGACGUGCCUUUGAAACUGAUUGUCUUGAGUGCGGAAGAGGGUGACGGAAUUCCCAGUGUAGAGGUGAAAUUCGUAGAUAUUGGGAAGAACACCGGUGGCGAAGGCGGUCACCUGGUCCGCAACUGACGCUGAGGCGCGAAAGCGUGGGGAGCAAACAGGAUUAGAUACCCCCGUAGUCC
rnacentral:rRNA from 1 species